AUUGGCAGAUUGCGUUUUAUAAACGGCUGGAAUAGUCUCGGUCAAUCAAGAUCGGCAAUUUUCAAAUUUUACCGGCGAGUGGCAGUUCCAGUGGGAAUUGCUUGCUGCAACGCUGAAAGGGUCCCCGGACGAUCUCAUCGCUUCGCCAAUUUCGCAGAAAGUGUCGCGUUACAGCUAAUGUUGAAGCGUUGUGACGAUAAAUCAUUUCGAAGAAUCUAUUAUCAAAGAACGUGCAUUUCUUCGCUCUCGGAGGGAAUUCAACGAUUCUCCCGCUUCGUUUCAAAGAUGUGAACGAAAUCUCGGGUGGUCAAUAACGCGUGAGAAAGAAGCAGCAGAAAUACUGAGAGGGAAGGAAAUGGAGGGAGUAUCGUCGGCAAAGAGGACCAUCGGCAGAUGGACAUGAAUAAGCUGCUCUGGAAGACACGAUAUAUAUUGUACAUAUAUAGGAACCGCAAGUGUCCAGACACUUGGUGAAAUUUGAUCGAGAAGCAAACCACCUGGAGAGGAGAGCCACCCAUCCAAGGAGGACGCCAAGAAAGAAGAUUGACGAAGGAAAGAAAGGAUCGGAGCGAGCAGGUGAAACAAGUUACGUCGCGAAGCUUAUGGUGGUAGAGUGAGUUGAACGCGAGCAGAGGAUAGAUAAGGACGCGUCGAACGAGCGGCGCGGCUGAGGAGAAGAGAGAGGAUAAUGGUGGCGCAUGCUCCUCCUCGUUGGGCACGUAUCGUAGAGCAGCAGGCAGUUGUUGCCCUCGUCGGCUCCAGGUACACGCGAAAAUCCAUAUCGACGCGGUGCACCGUCCCCAACGGCCGUUGACAGACUCCGCGGGCGACUCGGACACCCCGGCGAUCAACGGCGAGCGUCGCGACGCAGCUUCCUCGAGAUCUACGCGCCGCUACAUACCAUAUCACCGAGCCUCGAGCCACGUGCCUCCGCCAGUCGCGUGUUACUGCUCAAACAGACCGCCGCCGAAUCAACUUUCAAACCGCUUCUCGCGGUUCUCCCCUGUUCUCCCUUGUUCUUCUCCUCCACGCCGCGAAUCUUACCGCCGGGAUUUUCUUACACGUUACACGUUACGAGUGUGGCCUCGUCGUUUGGAACUAGCGAGUGGUGAUGGCGAGAAACGAAGUUUGAAAAGAGAAGAACGGUUGACAGGUAGGGGUAGGAAUUUUGAGAAGGGAGCAAGUGUUGUUUAGGAUGAUAAAAAGAAAGAUUGGUUGAUUGGAAGGGAAAAGUGAUUAUUGGGGACGAUCGAAGGGUUAACAGGUAGGAAUAAGAAUUUUGAGGAAAAAAGCAAGUGUUGUUUAGUAACGAUGAAAAACGAACUGGUUAGGUGGAAGAAGGAAGUGAUUAUUGGGGACGAUUGAAGAUAGAAAUAGGGAGUUUGAGAAGAGAACAAGUGUUAUUUAGGAUGUUAAAGAGAAAGAUUGGCUGAUUGGAAGAAAGAAGUGAUUAUUGGAGACGAUUGAAGGUAGAAAUAGAAAUUUUGAAAAGAGAACGAGUGAUAAAAAAAGAACUGGUUGGAAGAAGGAAGUGAUUAUUGAAGGAUUGAUAGGUAAAAAGAGAAAUUUUGAGAAGAGAACAAGCGUUAUUUAGGAUGAUAGAAAGUAAUUGAUUAAUUGGAAGAAGGAAGUGAUCAUUGGGGACGAUUGAAGUUAGAAACAGGAAAAAGAACAAGUGUUAUUUAGGAUGUUAAAGAGAAAGAUUGGCUGAUUGGAAGAAGGAAGUGAUUAUUGGAGACGAUUGAAGGUAGGAAUAAGAAUUUUGAGAAGAGAACGAGUGAUAAAAAAAGAACUGGUUGGAAGAAGGAAGUGAUUAUUGAAGGAUUGAUAGGUAAAAAGAGAAAUUUUGAAAAGAGAACAAACGUUAUUUAGGAUGAUAAAAAGAAAUUGAUUGAUUGGAAGAAGGAAGUGAUUAUUAGGAACGAUUGAAGGUAAAAGUAGGAAUUUUUUUGAAAGGAGAACAAGUGUUAUUUAGGAAGAUUGGAAGAAGAAAGUGAUUAUUGAAGGUAAGAAUAGAAAUUUUUAGAAGAGAACAAGCGUUAUUUAGAAGUGAUAAAAAGAAAUUGGUCGAAGAAAGGAAAUGAUUAUUGGAGACGGUUGAGGGUUGGAACAGGAAUUUCAAGAAGAGAACAAGUGUUACUUAGGAUGAUAAAGAGGACGAUUUUGAAUAUAAUACGAAUUUUAAGGGUGUCGUUUAUCCCAAGGAAAUUCAUCAUUUUAAGUAAAAAAAUUGUCAAAAGGGAGAAAGAGAUGAUUGUUUAGAAAAAGGAGGUGUUUGUACGAAA